CCUACGGGAGGCAGCAGUGGGGAAUAUUGGACAAUGGGCGAAAGCCUGAUCCAGCAAUGCCGCGUGAGUGAAGAAGGCCUUCGGGUUGUAAAGCUCUUUUACCCGGGAAGAUAAUGACUGUACCGGGAGAAUAAGCCCCGGCUAACUCCGUGCCAGCAGCCGCGGUAAUACGGAGGGGGCUAGCGUUGUUCGGAAUUACUGGGCGUAAAGCGUACGUAGGCGGCUUUGUAAGUCAGAGGUGAAAGCCCACGACUCAAUCGUGGAACUGCCUUUGAGACUGCUUCGCUUGAAGAUGGGAGAGGUUAGUGGAAUUCCGAGUGUAGAGGUGAAAUUCGUAGAUAUUCGGAAGAACACCAGUGGCGAAGGCGGCUAACUGGACCAUUCUUGACGCUGAGGUACGAAAGCGUGGGGAGCAAACAGGAUUAGAUACCCUGGUAGUCCACGCCGUAAACGAUGAUAACUAGCUGUCGGGGCUCUUGGAGCUUCGGUGGCGCAGCUACGACAUUAAGUUAUCCGUCCGUCGGGUAGGUACGGCCGCGAACGUAAACGUAACGAAGAAGUAGUACGGCGUGAGACGUGCGACGGACGACACGAGGGAGGAGG
rnacentral:rRNA from 1 species